GGCGACAUGGCCGAGUGGUAAGGCAGAGGACUGCAAAUCCUUUUUUCCAAGUUCAAAUCCGGGUAUCGCCU
rnacentral:tRNA from 1 species